AUACAUCUUGUAGAAGGCCGACGGGGAGAUUCUUCUUGGUAGUCGGGCUAUAUCUGUGUUACUAUGACCUAUUUGUCUCGUAAUCACCCAAACCCUCCUCAAAUCCCUGGCAGUUUAUCCCGUCUCCUUGAUUUGCUUUCUAUUUCCAUAAACCGAUAUGAUUCUGGAGCAGCCAAUGAUUCGGCGGAGUCUGGAUCGAUUCAGCUGUGACUUGUUCGGAGCUAUGUGUUUUUCCAGCUAAGGAAAUCUUCCAACAUUCUUAUUUGCUUCUUUUUUUCUUGCGCCCUUAGGAUCUGAUGAUUUGGCGGAAGACUAUUUAUUUAUUCCCUUUUGGCUGUUAUUAAUUCAUUAAUUUUUUUGUCGGAGAAGCUGAUAUUGCCGACGAUUGCAUCUCUGGAGCAUAAUCUUUUCCAAUCAUUCAGGGUAAUGAAGGAAUCAAUGUUGAAAAUGAAGUUGCUCGAGAAUUACAAGUUAUUCAAUCCAUUAAUCCGACCACAAUUUUCUCUAUUAGUUGUGGUUGUGGUUGUGGUUAUUCCUUCUCACAUCAUUAUCGAAGUAGUCAUUUCUCACCUACUAGCUCUAGUGGUGGCAAAACCUUACAAUCACCUCUCAUGACACUACCAUCACCACAAGUCGCGGCCAUGAUACCAUCACAGCCAUCAACCAUAACCAAGAUACCACCAGCACAGUCACCAUCAGCUGCUAUUGAUGCACCGUACAGUUCAAGUAGCACGAGCAACCACCAUCAACUUCGAUUAGUAGGGAACAUAUUUAGUCCCUACACAUAAGCCAUCCAUUUCAUCAGAGAUAUAAUUCGAAGCAAGUAUGACCAUCUAUACUUAUCCUAGAGGGAGAUCCCGAUGAUAGCUCGGGAUAUGUGAUUUGGGGAUUUGAAGAAGCAAUGGUCCUGACCCCUCAAGGAGGAAACACACAUUCGCAGGAACUUCGAGCAUAAGGUAAGUGAUCGUCUGUGCUACUAGUUUGGUGUUAAACGUCGGACACGUGAGCGCCCCUUGUGGCUGGGCGAGAAUGUGUUUGUCACAAUGCUGAGGGCCUGGGACUCUCCUGAGUAUCAGAGGAAGAGGUAGCAUGGAAAGUUGAAUUACUGCUCUGAUUUCAAGGACAAAGGUUGGAUCACUCCCACACACGGAGUACAAGAGGAGGCUGACACUGGUGAAAGGACAAGAGCCAAGUGCUACAGAGUUACACAAGCAUGCCCAUAGAAGGCACUCAGAUCAAUUCUGGGUGGACAACAAAUAGCAUGUGACCCAGAGGCCUUCUAGAGGCUCAAGGAGAGCCGAUCUCUCUAGUCAGGCUGUGGUUUGGGCACAUCUCACGAUCCUUCUCAGUACAACUUUUAGAAAGAGGUUUUCGGAGGGAAGAAGAAGGGUUGGGGUCCCAAGUGCCAGCCUAUGAUACCUGCCUGACCUCUAGCAGAUCCGGUGCAUCCACUUCCACUUCACAGGAGGAGGAGCUGCAUCACCAUGUUGCUGCCCAGUUACCCGCUCUAAAAUUGGAGAUGAGGGCUGAGGGUGGGGAUGAUGAGGAGAUGACACAACAGAAUGAGGAGGAUGAGUAGAGGAUUAUUUUUUUGUUUGUUUGCGUAAUAAACAAUUUAUUAUUA